GGGUUGUGAGGUUAAGCGACUAAGCGUACACGGUGGAUGCCCUGGCAGUCAGAGGCGAUGAAGGACGUGCUAAUCUGCGAUAAGCGUCGGUAAGGUGAUAUGAACCGUUAUAACCGGCGAUUUCCGAAUGGGGAAACCCAGUGUGUUUCGACACACUAUCAUUAACUGAAUCCAUAGGUUAAUGAGGCGAACCGGGGGAACUGAAACAUCUAAGUACCCCGAGGAAAAGAAAUCAACCGAGAUUCCCCCAGUAGCGGCGAGCGAACGGGGAGCAGCCCAGAGCCUGAAUCAGUGUGUGUGUUAGUGGAAGCGUCUGGAAAGGCGCGCGAUACAGGGUGACAGCCCCGUAC
rnacentral:rRNA from 1 species